AUCACUUCUCAGCCUUUUGGCUAAGAUCAAGCGUAGUAUCUAAAUAGUAUAGCCAUUAUAAUUUAUGAAACUUUUGUUUCUAAUUUUU
rnacentral:snRNA from 1 species